UCCGAGUUGACCCCGGCAGUCUCUUAUGAGUCCCCACCAUUACGUGCUGGCAACAUAAGACGAGGGUUGCGCUCGUUGCGGGACUUAACCCAACAUCUCACGACACGAGCUGGCGACAGCCAUGCACCACCUGUAUAGAGCCCGUAAGGACCUGCCAUCUCUGCCAGUUUUCCCUAUAUGUCAGACCCAGGUAAGGUUCUUCGCGUUGCAUCGAAUUAAUCCACAUGCUCCGCCGCUUGUGCGGGCACCCGUCAAUUCUUUUGAGUUUUAGCCUUGCGGCCGUACUCCCCAGGCGGGACACUUAACGCGUUAACUGCGGCACAGAGGGAUUCGACUCCCCCCACACCUAGUGUCCAUCGUUUACGGCUAGGACUAC
rnacentral:misc_RNA from 1 species